CCUUAUGUUGCCUCGGCGGAUCAGCCCGCGCCCCGUAAAAAGGGACGGCCCGCCGCAGGAACCCUAAACUCUGUUUUUAGUGGAACUUCUGAGUAUAAAAAACAAAUAAAUCAAAACUUUCAACAACGGAUCUCUUGGUUCUGGCAUCGAUGAAGAACGCAGCAAAAUGCGAUAAGUAAUGUGAAUUGCAGAAUUCAGUGAAUCAUCGAAUCUUUGAACGCACAUUGCGCCCGCCAGUAUUCUGGCGGGCAUGCCUGUUCGAGCGUCAUUUCAACCCUCAAGCCCAGCUUGGUGUUGGGAGCUGCAGUCCUGCUGCACUCCCCAAAUACAUUGGCGGUCACGUCGAGCUUCCAUAGCGUAGUAAUUUACACAUCGUUACUGGUAAUCGUCGCGGCCACGCCGUUAAACCCCAACUUCUGAAUGUUGACCUCGGAUCAGGUAGGAAUACCCGCUGAACUUAAGCAUA
rnacentral:rRNA from 1 species